rnacentral:lncRNA from 1 species
GAACUUUAUAGGCAGAUCAAUAAGGCACAUCCGCUUUAAACAAUCUCACAAUAAUACCCGAAGCAGUCAAACUUGCAAUUGUUACAAUAGGCUGCAAAUCCAUCUUCAAUAGCUGGGUAAAUAUUUGAGCAAUUAACUUGCUUCAAGCUUCCUGCAACUGAAGGUUCACUCUUACUUACAGAAAGUCAGCAUUGCCAGAAACCCAGAAGUUGCCCUUGAAUCAACCUUUGAAGAAACAGACAGUAGGAAUGAUACUAGUGAAAUACAAUGCCUGAGUAAUAUUUAUGAGGUUAUUCAAGAUCUAUGCAGAAAUACUGGCUAAGAAAUUGGAUGAAGUUCCAGGGAAGACAUUUUCUUCAGCACUUUGAGGAAAUAAAAUUUGAGAAAAAUGUGUUUACUAUUUCCAGCAUUCCUAGAAUUCCAUUACCAAUGAGAGUCAUAAGAAUUGUGAUAUAAGUGAAUGGGUAUACAGAUCUAAAAGAAUAGAUCCACGUCAGACUUUCCUUUUAUUGUGAGGUUUGGCUCCCUUCCAUGUGUUCAUGAAAUAAAUUGGCUGCAGCAGAGCAGCUGGUAGCAUUCUGCUGACUGGAAGUAUCCCAGCAGAGACUGAAGCAGCCACAGUAAGGACUAGGAAUGAGAGACAACUCAGGUUAUCAGAGUUUCUCAAUGAACUGCAAAAUGACGCUCCGCUCAGGCCGUGAAAAGCCAUACAGAGUGCCUACUUGUGGAAGGCAACUGGUGAGAAGGAAACUUCUGGAGAGCACUAGAUCAGCAGCUGCUGAAAAUUCAGAGCUUCAACUGCGGAAAACACUGAGAUGCUAUAUACAGACUGAAGAUUCAAAAACCGUGCAUUUCAGCUUAGAUGAACGUGGUCGUCAUGAAAUAUCAACCACAGAUUCACAACUCCCAGCAGAUACAGCAUGGUUAAGCCUAUUCACAAGCAAUAAGCCAGCAGUUAGAGCAAAAACAAACUCUAAAAACGUGGUGGUCCUCAUGCAGAGAUUGAAGUGUAAUGAAUUUGUUCUGUUGAGCAAGGGUGAAAAUCAACUCUGUCUGAAGGUUUUAAAGGGAUGCUGUUCUGAGCCAGAUCAUGCUUCAGUGAAAGGAGGCAACGCAAAAACGUGCAAGGAGGGAAGUCUUGACUUCAGAAAGCUACAGGAAGAAAAUCACUUUUUCAUCAUGCAUUCUGAAGGAGAUUCAGUGAAGUUCCAGUGCUACCAAGACACAAGUUACUUUCUGCACGUGAAUGAGAACUCACUUGACAUACGCAAGCUGGAUCGCAAAGACCCUGAUGGGGAGAGAAACUUUAUCUUCAAGGUGACUUAUUUUUAG